GCCUCUGUAGCUCACUGGUGAGAGUGCUGCACUGGAAUCGCAGAACCACAGGUUCGAUUCUUGUUGGACUGGCC